CCUAGUAGCCUAUCAUCCCUGAAAGCAAGUGACACGCAGUUACCUGAGUGAAAGGAGUUGUCUGAAUAGUCUACCAAGAUAUAUAUUUUUCUCUGUUCCGAUUUAACUUCUGUGAAGUAAUUUCAUUUCAUGUCUCGCAACAGAAAUGACAAUGAAUACAACCUGCGUAGUAUGAGAAACCCAAUGGGCGACAGGAGAAAGAGCGACGAUGGAGAGCGGAGUCUCAUUCCGACGCCCUCCGAGUCGAGCGUCAACUGUCCCAGUGUCACUGCCACCUCUGCAGCGGGACAACCGGAGGUUGCCACGGACCAGGAUGUUACACCGGUGUUUGUGUACACUCUUGCGUUUUUCUCCGCCCUGGGAGGCUUUCUUUUUGGAUAUGACACCGGGGUAGUCUCCGGGGCUAUGCUUCUCCUGAAAAAAGAAAUGCAAUUAACCUCUUUAUGGCAGGAGUUAUUGGUCUCUAGUACUGUGGGCGCGGCAGCGAUCUCUUCUCUUGCCGGCGGGGUUCUGAACGGGGUCUUUGGGCGCAGGAUUUGCGUCUUGAUAGCCAGCUUCAUAUUCACUGCCGGAGGAGUUGUGUUAGGGGUAGCGCCAAACAAGAACGUUCUUCUUCUUGGAAGAAUUACAGUUGGUUUGGGAAUAGGCAUUGCCUCCAUGACUGUUCCUGUCUACAUUGCGGAGGUCUCCCCAUCCCACCUGAGGGGACAGCUGGUGACCAUUUAUACCUUGUUCAUUACGGGCGGCCAGUUUAUUGCCAGUGUUAUGGAUGGGGCCUUUACUUACCUGCAACACGAUGGCUGGAGGUACAUGUUAGGCCUGGGUGCCGUCCCUGCAGCUCUCCAAUUCCUCGGGUUCCUGUUCCUCCCUGAGAGCCCCCGCUGGCUGCUGCAGAAGGGCCGUACCCAGGAGGCUCGGCGGGCCCUCAGCAGGAUCCGUGGGGGCCGGAACAUUGAAGAGGAGUACGAAAGCAUCAGGAGCAACAUUGAGGAUGAGCAGGAGGCGUCAGGAGGAGGAACUGUGCUGUGGCGUAUCUUGUCUCACCCCCCUACGCGCAGAGCUUUGACUGUAGGCUGCGGCCUGCAGAUGUUCCAGCAGCUCUCGGGGAUCAACACUGUCAUGUACUACAGCGCCACCAUCCUGCAGAUGUCGGGGGUUGGGGAUGAUAAGACAGCCAUCUGGUUGGCUUCCGCUACAGCUGCCACCAACUUCCUGUUCACACUGGUGGGGGUGUGGCUUGUGGAGAGAGUCGGACGCAGGAACCUGACCAUGGGCAGUUUAAUGGGUACUGGUUUGAGCUUGAUCGUCUUGGCUGUAGGGUUUCUCCUAUCAGCCCAGCACUCUCCUCCUGUCACUCUCCACCCCUCUGGCCCCUCCCUUAACUCCACCUCCUGCACACUGUAUGGGUCCUGUGAGCCCUGCAUGUUGGAUCCUGGCUGUGGCUUCUGUUACCGUGAGAACGGAACUACCAUAUAUGAGUCCUCCUGUCUACCUGUCAAUCAGUCGUCUACUGAGGCCUCCGCCUGGGGCAGGUGUUCAGAUGCCAGUGAUGUGUCUCUCUGGGCCUAUAAUUACUGUCCCACCCCCUAUUCCUGGAUAGUGCUGCUGGGCCUCAUCCUCUACUUGGCCUUUUUUGCUCCAGGAAUGGGCCCCAUGCCAUGGACGGUGAACAGUGAGAUCUAUCCCCUGUGGGCCAGGAGCACAGGGAACGCCUGCUCAGCUGGAGUUAACUGGAUUUGCAAUGUCCUGGUGUCACUCACCUUCCUCCACGUUGCGGAGUAUCUAACGUACUAUGGUGCGUUCUUCCUCUACUCCGGCCUUGCUCUUCUGGGGUUGCUGUUUGUCUUUGGCUGUUUGCCAGAGACACAGGGUCGCAGGCUAGAGGAGAUUGAGGACCUGUUCUCUGGAAGGCUCUGUUUCUGCGGCGCCAAUGACAAAGAAACCUCCAGAAACAUCCCCUACAUCAGGGUAAAGGGAAACGACUACCAUGUCUUGGAGAACGAUGCCUCAGACCUGGACUAGACCGGGAGCGUCUGUUAGUCUGGGAACCUGUUUCCGUCUCUCUGUUUCUGCCUCUGUGUCUGAACUGGCUCACAGGCUGUGGUGCGAAAUUCACUUGAUUUCUGGGCCUUUUGGGUGUAGCAGCUCUGCUAACAGCUCUGCUAAGUGAAUGGAUAAGACUUCUGCCAUAAAGUAGAAUGAAGGACUGAAUUAACUCUUUCUCUCUCCUCGCAACAUAGCAGAUAGUGAUUUGUUGUAGCUGUGGUUGUCUGAGGUGGAGGUGGUCCUGGAAACACUGGUCCUUGAAGUAAUAUCUUUUUUUUAUAUUGGUCACAAGCUACUUGAUGCACAGGCCAAAUAGCUAGUAUGAAUGGUUUUUCGUUGUUCUAGUCCUUUACAGAUUUCAGCAAAGUGCACUAUGGAACUACGGAGGCAGCUGGGGGCAUAGCAUAUAUAACAUUGGAUUGAUGGCAGCUUGACGCCCUUUGGAGCUGGUUGACUACGGGACCAAUAUGUUUCUCCUCGAGGACAGAUGUUUCGUUUAAAUCGUUUUAUUACAUCACUAAGAAUGUUACAACCGUUGCUUCUGAUUGCACAUUGUUGAAUGAGCCUAAUUCAGUUUUCGUUCCUGUUUUGCCUGUGUUCAAAUCAAAGCUCACGUGAUUCAGUUGUACUCUGUUAAACGUUAAAUGUUAGUCGGUGUAUUAUGCAGUCUGGUGUUUUUAUGUACUUACUGGACUUUGUCACGUUCCUGGUGACACUUUACUGUUGAAUAUGGGACACUUUUAUAAGUGUCUUUCUGAGAACCAUGUUUUAUACACAAAACACUUGAGUUAAAUGGGGAUUUGUAUGAUUUGUAAUUAAAACAGAGGUGAAGGUGAUGGACAUUUGAA